CCGAGUUUACAACUCCCAAACCCCUGUGAACAUACCUUAAUGUUGCCUCGGCGGAUCAGCCCGCGCCCCGUAAAACGGGACGGCCCGCCAGAGGACCCAAACUCUAAUGUUUCUUAUUGUAACUUCUGAGUAAAACAAACAAAUAAAUCAAAACUUUCAACAACGGAUCUCUUGGUUCUGGCAUCGAUGAAGAACGCAGCAAAAUGCGAUAAGUAAUGUGAAUUGCAGAAUUCAGUGAAUCAUCGAAUCUUUGAACGCACAUUGCGCCCGCUGGUAUUCCGGCGGGCAUGCCUGUUCGAGCGUCAUUUCAACCCUCAAGCCCCCGGGUUUGGUGUUGGGGAUCGGCUCUGCCCUUCUGGGCGGUGCCGCCCCCGAAAUACAUUGGCGGUCUCGCUGCAGCCUCCAUUGCGUAGUAGCUAACACCUCGCAACUGGAACGCGGCGCGGCCAUGCCGUAAAACCCCAACUUCUGAAUGUUGACCUCGGAUCAGGUAGGAAUACCCGCUGAACUU
rnacentral:rRNA from 1 species